rnacentral:lncRNA from 1 species
CACCUUUGUUAGUCUUGGGUGGGAUUGCUGGAAAGAAUAGCAAGACAGAAUUCCAAGCUCCUUGUCGUACCACAAAGUACCCCAGAGAGAUUCCCCCAUUGCCAUGGUACCGCAGUACACUACCUCAGAUGGCAAUGGCAGGGUUUUUGCCUUUCAGUGCAAUUUACAUUGAGCUUUACUAUAUAUUUGCAAGUGUGUGGGGUCACAGGAUUUAUACUAUCUACAGCAUCCUAUUUAUUGUCUUCAUUAUUCUUCUAAUUGUCACUGCUUUCAUCACUGUGGCAUUGACAUACUUUCAGCUUGCCGCUGAAGACCAUGAAUGGUGGUGGAGGUAUGUGAUCUUUAUUCUGGAUUCCAUGUUGCUCUUAUUAACUGGCUGCCUUAUAAAGAAAUUUUAAAACCUUUUUGACUCUUGCUUGGAAUUUUUGGAACACAAUGUACAAGAUAUGCUUGUUACACAUAAAUGACGACGAAAACAAGUAGGUUUUUUUUAGGGCUAGUAUAAGGGAAAGUGAUGGCCUAGUUCUAAAGCACUAAUAUAUGCUUGCUUGCUUGCUCCCUGUAGGUCUUUCCUCUGUGGUGGAUCAACUGGAUUAUUCAUCUAUGGGUACUGCUUGUAUUACUAUUAUGCACGUUCUGAUAUGUCAGGCUUCAUGCAGACUUCAUUCUUCUUCGGUUACAUGGCUUGCGUAUGCUAUGGUUUCUUUCUUAUGCUCGGGACCGUAGGCUUCCGUGCAGCACUGUUCUUUGUCCGUCAUAUAUACCGCUCAAUCAAGUGCGAGUAGCAAGUGACUGGACAAAGGUGGCUUCUUUGCUCUAAUUCUUGAUUAAUAUCAGCAGUCAUGGAUCGAGAAAAGAAUGUGUAGGACAAGAGUAGUGAAGCAGAGCCUGUAUUAUCUUACAGAAGUGAUAUGUAGAAACCAUGGUCACAUUUUGCAUUUACGGUUCAACAAGUAAUAUCAAUGUGCUAGUUUUCCAGUUCAUGUCAUUCUUUCCAUCUUUGAAGAUAUCAAAGCUAUGCUUUUGUUCAUGUUCUUUGUGGUAGAAGUACGGCAUUUCAGUAUUGGUUCCUGAUACUGUUUUUGUUUUUUGUGGCACAACAUCAACAGAAUCAGAGCCACUCUUGUUCCAAGUGUUCGAAAGCAACCACAAAAGAAUAAAUAGGGAAUCCCAUCCGUUUGACAAGAACUCAAGUACUGAACUAACUACGAAGUCUUAUAACCUACGCCAAGCGUGCGACCGAAGGCGUGUUGCUGGGUACUGGGUUACAUUAGUCUGUUAGGAAAUAGGAAAUGACCAGCAUCUUCCCCUUACAAUUGCGAUGACUGCGUGGCAUUUGGCGGUUGUUUGUUCGAGUAUAAACAUAUGCAAAGCAAUAACGUUGGAUCCGGUCAUGUCUACUUGCAAAUGCUUCUACCUGACUUGACUUCUCCCACACCUUUUCAUAUGAACGAUCUAACUGCUAACUCACCUAUACAUCAGGUAGGUUGUUUAGCAUAGUCAUUAUGUGACAAUGACGCUUUUAUUUAAUUUAACACACCCAGACCAUAGGCUCUAGACAGGUAAAAAUAACUGUGGGAACACAACUAUCACCUUCCCAUUUGAUGUACUACCAAGUGCUAAAGUUCUAGUAAUAUAAAAUUCAGACUCCCUCUGCUGGGCUUAGCCAUGAAAAGUUUCUUCUGAAAACUCAUUCCUUGUUUGCCAUUUCCUUUGUAAAUCUUUGCCUGUUUUGCAAUUAUCGAUCUCCUUUUGGACCUCGCAAUCUUGUCUCGUGCAAAGAAUAAUGUUUAAAAGAGAAUCCUAGAUAUGAUCGUAACAUUUUGCAGUCUUUCAGACUCUCUUUAACUUUGAGAUGUUGAACCCCCAUUGUUGUGCGACAGUUUUGAGACGCGGUCCAUUGGUCUACGGUACCGAUUUCCUUUGUUCUUCUAAGAAUUAAGAUGUUGUAAGUUGUAACUCACAUUUGUUUCCUUUCUUUAUUGUUUCGAAAUGCUAAGAAGAAUUCGAUUUACCUGAAUGUUGAUCGACCAUACUUGGAUUUGGGAUCUCGUGAGCAAAGUAACAUAAAAUCAUGCCUCAAAAUAAUCAUUCCUAACAAUUGAAAAGGCUAGAUCACACCUAAACGAUCAUAUAAAUUCACACGCCAAUAAUUGUUAUCUUAUAUUACAGGGAUAAUUUUAGAAACCUCCCCCGAAAUUUUUCACAAUACCGCUCAGCUCUUCUGAGAUUUUUAAAAUCUCACUACCUCCCUUGGAAUAACAUUUCUUGUAACAUUUUAACUCCUUUGAAGGAAAAUGCAAGAAAGAUAAAACUUUUGUUCCAAUACUACCCUUAUAUUAUCCUACUUAUGGAAUUUAUAACAACAAUAACAAAUAACAUAAAGUUAAAUUUUUAUAAGGUAUAAAUUUUUUAACGUAAACUAUUUAUUUUAGUUAUAUUGGAACAAAAGCAAAAUUUACACCUUGAAAAUUUGACACAUAUGAAGAGAUUAUUUUAAUUUUCAAUACAACUUAAAUUACACCAUGAAUUGAAACAUAUUUCUCUAAAAAAUAUCUUGACUUCCUUAAUUUUAAUUGUGCACGAAAUUUUUUAAGAUGUUAAUUACUUUUUAAAAUCCUUCGAAGUGGCUGAUCUUAAUUAGAUUUAAUUUAUCUACCCUUUGCUAUCCCACCGUGACCCCAAUGUAAAGAAAUAUAGACCAUUAUUAGCUAGUAAAUUUUUUUAAUUUAGAUUUUUUGCUUUUAAAAUUUUAUUUUGUUUUGGUCUAAAAUAUCUCUGAAACAAUGUCCUUUUUCAUAUCUAUUUCCUUUUCCUUUAACAACCAAAAGUAGAAGUUCUAAAAGAAAAGGUAGAUGUUCUGAACUCUGAAUUUCUUCAUUAGAUUGCGAUAACCAAACCAUUAGCUGCACGUGUUAGAUCUUCUGUCUUAGUCCCUUGCGAUGAAUUUUUUUUUUUUUUUUUAAAAAGGAAGAAUUGACCAAACGUACCAGAACACCGAAAAUGAAAAAGGAAAAAAUAGAAAUAACCAUAAACAAAAGAAGACACGAUGUCGUUUUCACUCAUUCAUCGUCUGUUGGUUUGUCAAAUUCGUAGAUUUGCGCGUGGGUGAAAAAUUGGGUGAAAAAUUUUCAAUUGUUUCGUACCUUCCUACACCACUUCAGCAGACCAGUAUUAAGAAGAGCAGUCUGGAAAUCUGCUCUCUAAACUCUCUCUCUCUCUCUCUCUCUCCUCCUCUCGGGGCUUAUUGAGAUCUGCCUCUCUCUCUCUCUCUCUCUCUCCCCUCUUAUUCCAACGACCGAAUUGACGCCGACGAUGGGGAGGAGUUGCCGGAAUCAUUACUCCGUUCUAAUUUUAGCGGUUAUACUUCUUAGCGCUACGGAAGUGAGGUCAGAUGCGUCAGAUCACAAAUACAAAGUCUCAGAUCAGGUUCCUCUUUACGCUAACAAGGUCGGACCUUUCCAUAAUCCUAGGUAAUCUUCUUCACGUCUUGUCCACUUUUAGUGAUUUUUUCUGCUCUUGUAAGUUAAACGUUUGAUGUUAUUUGUUGAAUGGCUGCCGUAAAAUUAUGGCUAAUUGUUCCAACUAUAGUAUUUUAGAGUUUAAAUUUUGUUUGGAUUGAGUAUUCUCCGUCCUUUCUGAGAUUUUGGAGUUUUUGAUGCUUAGAAAUGCUGCAUGGAUGUGUCGGUGGAUCGCGUGUUUCAAGUUUUAUGUCAGUGGGAUUCCAGUUGGUUGGAUCUAGAGUUAAAAGCUGCAUCUUGCUUGUCUAAUUACAGUAUUGGCAGUUGUGUGGGAGAUUUUUGUUUGCUAAUUGCGCUAUUUUUUUUUAAGCUGAAGUAAUAGCUUGGAGAUUGUGAGAAUGUUAAUUGUUGCUGGUGUUUGAAUUAGUUUUGUUGCCUAUACUGCUGAACUAAAGAAAAGUUUGCAUUUUGAUGGUGUGAAAAGGGAGAUUCGGGAAGAAAAUUAGGUCCUUUUUGUUUCUGUUUUUAAACGUUGAUUGGAAGCUCUGCAAGAAUGAGGGAAAAGUGACAAGUAUUCGAUAUAAUAAUAAAUGAAUCAUCUUAAGUUGUGAAGAGUACGAAAAGUAUCAAGUUGUGGCUAAAAGAAAUAUGGUGAGAAGUACAAUACACGUAUGAUCUGGCACUUGAUACGAGUAUUCCCUGCACUUUAGCUAGUUAUCAGGAAUUAUGUGAGAAUUUAUUGCAUCUGUAUCAAUGUUUCUUUGCAGUUGGUAAAUAUGUUUGUAAGCCAUGGAAGCAGAACGUAUGCUUCCCCAAGAAAUAAGUUGAGAGGCAUUAACUUACUAGAUCAUGAAAAGAAACUUUGUCUAAUGCAAUUAUUCUGAUACUUAAAUUUGACAGACGCAUUAUAACACUUGCAACUGAGUGUAUAGGACUGUCAAAAAGAAUAGUGAUUUGCAUAUUGCUCCUUGGGGAUUUGGUCAGUUAACAAGAAGAAGAUGCUCUUUUGGUCUCUGUCUUGAUCAAUGAUCGUAUACUUGCAAGAGAUGGAGUUGGUUUCUGUUAAUAAAAUUGGUUGUUAGUGGGGUAUCCAAGUAAUUUUUUUUGGUUUUAAAAUUGCAAGCUGGCAAUGUGUUGACAUAAAAUGGCUCUUUUAAUAAUUGUUUAAGAUGUAUUUGAUGCCACCUUUUGGACUUGUGGAUAGCCCAGAACUUCCAUUGUGCUUGCAAGGCUUCUGUUAGCUACAAGUCCUAUAUAGCGAAUGAUUUUGGAAUGGAGGGUUAUGUUGGUAAUUGAUAUUGUGGAGCUGCUAAGUAAAGGGCCUAUUUGCAACCUGUUCUUGUCAAUUGAAAGUAAAGUAGUUCUUGAUAAUAUUAUCUAUGAGAAUCCCUGUUGAAUAGCUAAGUUGCGACUUUGAGAAGACUUUCAGUCAACAUCUUCCAUCUAUAAAAGACUUCUCUAGUGACACCCUUCUCUCAAUUUAUGAGCUUGCAAAAUUCAGUAUGAAAUUAUGUGUAUAUAUUCUGUUUAUUUUACUUAAGUUUCAUUACUGACUUUAAACUCUUUCCCCCCCUGUAUGUUGUAGUGAAACCUACCGGUAUUUCGAUCUUCCAUUCUGUUUACCAGGUAUCAAGAUGAUCGCUUUUAUUCUUCUUCCAUUAGUUGUUUAUCUUUUUUCCUUAGUCAAGGCUUGAUUCUUGAUGUAUAAUGUUUGCAGCUCAGGUGAAAGAGAAAAGGGAAGCACUUGGUGAAGUUUUGAAUGGUGAUCGUUUAGUUGUUGCUCCAUAUAAUCUGGAAUUUUUGCACGAUAAAGAGUCUGAAGUUGUUUGCAAAAAGAAGUUGUCAAAGGAAGAAGUUGCUCAAUUUCGAAAUGCUGUCUCAAAAGACUACUACUUUGAGAUGUACUAUGAUGACUUGCCUUUGUGGGGUUUCUUGGGGAAGGUUGAAAAGACUGGCAAAACUGAUCCAAGCGAGUACAAGUAUUACUUAUUUAAGAAUAUCCAUUUUGAAAUCUUAUACAAAAAGGAUCGUGUUAUUGAGAUCAAUGCACGAACUGACCCUGGUUCUAUAGUGGAUAUAACUGAUGAUAAGGAAGUGGAUGUGGAAUUCAUGUACUCCGUCAAAUGGAAGGAAACCACUACCCCUUUUGAAAAGAGGAUGGAGAAAUAUUCUCAUUCAUCUUCCUUACCACAUCACUUGGAAAUUCAUUGGUUCUCAAUUAUCAAUUCAUGUGUCACAGUUCUCCUCUUAACUGGUUUUCUGGCCACAAUUUUGAUGCGAGUCCUUAAGAAUGAUUUUGUUAAGUAAGUACAUCUUAUUAUUUGUGACCCAUUCAUGUUAUACAAAUUCAUUCGUGCUGCUUGACUGUCUUUUACUGUUUGUCCUGAUGGAUAAAUGCUCUGUAAUAAUAUUUGGUGUUUAUUGAAAGAUACGAGCACGAUGAGGAGACGGCUGAUGACCAAGAAGAAACUGGGUGGAAGUAUAUUCAUGGUGAUGUCUUCAGAUUCCCUAAAUACAAAUCCUUGCUUGCUGCUUCCCUUGGAUCUGGUUCUCAGCUAUUUACCCUGUAAGUUAGUCUUUGGAGUUUUGUCUCAUAGUAUUAUGCAACUCAAGCAAGUUUCUUUUAACUCCGUGGUGCCAGAAGGUGGUGAAGUUAAUUGUGCACUUUUCCAUUUCAGAACAAUCUUUAUAUUUAUUCUUGCUCUUGUUGGUGUAUUUUACCCUUAUAACCGAGGAGCUCUCUUCACUGCAUUGGUGGUCAUAUAUGCACUUACUUCUGGAAUUGCUGGCUAUACUGCAGCCUCUUUCUAUUGCCAGCUUGAGGGAACCAAUUGGGUAUGUAACUCAUACUUUUGGCUAGUAUAAGAAUUGUUUUGUGAUCUUUUUAGUUUAGAAUUGUAUCACUGUAAUUUCAUCAUCAUCAUCAUCUUCUUCUUCUUCUUGUUCCUCUUUUUUUGGGUUUUUGGGUAUGCAUGUUAAUUUGGGGAGACUUGUGUAUUGUAUGUCUUGGAAGCAUGAUGUAGCUCUUCCCUGGUUUGGAACUUGCGAACAUUUUUGCACAUCCAAUUUUGCAGUCCUUCAAUUUGGAAACUUAUUACUUUUCAGUAAAUGGUCCAUAAGAAUUCUCUCGGGGAUGGAGCUUUAAAAUGUUAGGGUACAUAUGGAAGUGUUUCCUCUGUUUUUGUGCUUGGAUCCAUAAAUUUCUAACUUUUGAAGAAGAUGAGAACUAUGCUGCAAUUGCAUCUUUGUGUUUUUGAAAGUGUCAUUAUUUUCACACUAAAUAACUGGAUCGCAUGUUAUAACGGACAAAACAUCUCCAUCAGUUAUUUCUCUUUUUCUUCCAAGCUGUUGCACACAAUCAAUGUGGUGGUAAGAAUUUGCAUCACUCAUAGAAGCUAUGACUAAUUAUUCUCAUUUUCUUUUCCCCCUUCUACAGGUUAGAAACUUGUUGUUGACUGGAGGCCUGUUUUGUGGACCGCUGUUUUUAACAUUUUGCUUCCUCAACACUGUUGCUAUUGCUUACAGUGCCACUGCAGCACUUCCAUUUGGUACUAUUGUGGUCAUAUUUCUCAUAUGGGCCCUUGUCACAUCACCUUUGCUAGUCUUAGGUGGGAUUGCAGGAAAGAAUAGCAAGGCAGAGUUUCAAGCUCCAUGUCGUACGACAAAAUACCCAAGAGAGAUCCCACCAUUGCCUUGGUACCGUGGAACUCUACCUCAGAUGGCAAUGGCAGGUUUCUUGCCUUUCAGUGCCAUAUACAUUGAGCUCUACUACAUAUUUGCUAGUGUUUGGGGUCACAGGAUUUACACCAUCUACAGCAUCUUAUUCAUAGUCUUCAU